GCACUCGGUAACUUCCGUAGCGUGUACCUGCGGAAGGAUCAUUA
rnacentral:rRNA from 1 species